rnacentral:tRNA from 1 species
GCCCAGGUGGUGAAAUUGGUAUACACAAGGGACUUAAAAUCCCUCGGCUUCGGCUAUGCGGGUUCAAGUCCCGCCCUGGGCACCA